AUUGAACGCUGGCGGCAUGCUUUACACAUGCAAGUCGAGCGGCAGCGGGGAGGUGCUUGCUUCUCUGCCGGGGGGAGGCGUACGUGAGGGUUAUACAUCGGACCGUGUCGAGGAGAUAAGGAUAGCCACCCGGAAGUGUUACCACUACCGCAUAAAUUGUGAAGGAGAAAGCUGUUGAGCUCUGAAUAGACCUAGCGCUUUUUGGGCGGCUGAUGUCGGAUUAGCUAGUUGGUGGGGUAAAGGCGCACCAAGGCGAAGAUCCGUAGCGGGUCUGAGAGGAUGAUCCGCCACACUGGGACUGAGACACGGCCCAGACUCCUACGGGAGGCAGCAGUGGGGAAUUUUGGACAAUGGGGGCAACCCUGAUCCAGCCAUGCCGCGUGUAUGAAGAAGGCCUUAGGGUUGUAAAGUACUUUUGUUAGGGAAGAAAAGUAAUCUGUGAAUAACGGCCUGUACUGACGGUACCUAAAGAAUAAGCACCGGCUAACUACGUG
rnacentral:rRNA from 1 species